rnacentral:rRNA from 1 species
AGCAGCCGCGGUAAUUCCAGCUCCAAUAGCGUAUAUUAAAGUUGUUGCAGUUAAAAAGCCCGUAGUUGAAUUUCGGGAUCAAUAUGUUGGUCGUGCCUUGGUACGUACUGGCAUUAUCGAUUCCUACCUUCUGAAGAACCUCGAUGUCAUUAAUUUGGUGUCUUGGGGAAUCAGGACUGUUACUUUGAAAAAAUUAGAGUGUUUAAAGCAGGCUCGCGCUUGAAUACAUUAGCAUGGAAUAAUGAAAUAGGACGUUUGAUUCUAUUUUGUUGGUUUCUAGGAUCGACGUAAUGAUUAAUAGGGAUAGUUGGGGGCAUUAGUAUUCAAUUGUCAGAGGUGAAAUUCUUGGAUUUAUUGAAGACUAACUACUGCGAAAGCAUUUGCCAAGGAUGUUUUCAUUAAUCAAGAACGAAAGUUAGGGGAUCGAAGACGAUCAGAUACCGUCGUAGUCUUAACCAUAAACUAUGCCGACUAGGGAUCGGAUGAUGUUAAUUUUUAUGACUCAUUCGGCGCCUUAAC